CCCUUAGAUGUUCUGGGCUGCACGCGUGCUACACUGAUAUUACCAAUAUGUCAUUCUUAUCUGAAAUGGAUUGGGUAAUCAAGUAAUGAAAUUUCAUGCUUGGAAUCGGUAAUUGCAAUUUUAUCGUGAACGAGGAAUUCCUAGUAAGCACUAGUCAUCAGCUAAUGUUGAUUAUGUCCCUGCCCUUUGUACACACCGCCCGUCGCUACUACUGAUUGGAUGUUUAAGCGAGGUUCUCGAACUGCUAGCGACUUAGCUUCGGUGAGGUCGCAGUGUGGGAAGUGAACCUAGCUUUGGUGUCUAGAGGAAGUAAAAGUCGUAACA
rnacentral:rRNA from 1 species